rnacentral:rRNA from 1 species
CCUACGGGGGGCAGCAGUGGGGAAUAUUGCGCAAUGGGCGAAAGCCUGACGCAGCGACGCCGCGUGAGGGAUGAAGGUCUUCGGAUCGUAAAACUCUGUCAGCAGGGAAGAACGGUCACUUUGCUAAUCAGCAGUGAAUUGACGGUACCUGCAAAGGAAGCACCGGCUAACUCCGUGCCAGCAGCCGCGGUAAUACGGAGGGGGCGAGCGUUAAUCGGAAUUACUGGGCGUAAAGCGCUCGUAGGCGGUCUGUCAAGUCAGGGGUGAAAUCCCCGGGCUCAACGUGGGAACUGCCUUUGAAACUGGCAAACUGGAGUGUGUGAGAGGAUAGUGGAAUUCCAGGUGUAGGAGUGAAAUCCGUAGAUAUCUGGAGGAACAUCAGUGGCGAAGGCGACUAGCUGGAACAUAACUGACGCUGAGGAGCGAAAGCGUGGGUAGCAAACAGGAUUAGAUACCCUGGUAGUC